CCUACGUGCGGCAGCAGUGAGGAAUAUUGGUCAAUGGACGCGAGUCUGAACCAGCCAUGCCGCGUGCAGGAAGACGGCACUAUGAGGUGUAAACUGCUUUUGUACGAGGGUAAACGCAGAUACGCGUAUCUGGCUGAAAGUAUCGUAAGAAUAAGCAUCGGCUAACUCCGUGCCAGCAGCCGCGGUAAUACGGAGGAUUCAAGCGUUAUCCGGAUUUAUUGGGGUUAAAGGGUGCGUAGGCGGUCGGAUAAGUUAGGGGUGAAAUCCCGAGGCUCAACUUCGGCAUUGCCGCUGAUACUGUUCGGCUAGAGAGUAGUUGCGGUAGGCGGAAUGUGUGGUGUAGCGGUGAAAUGCUUAGAGAUCAUACAGAACACCGAUUGCGAAGGCAGCUUACCA
rnacentral:rRNA from 1 species